AUGGCUGGUGUUCUAACGUAGACCCGUAAUCCGGGUUGCGGACAGUGUCUGGUGGGUAGUUUGACUGGGGCGGUCUCCUCCCAAAGAGUAACGGAGGAGCACGAAGGUUAGCUAAUCCUGGUCGGACAUCAGGAGGUUAGUGCAAUGGCAUAAGCUAGCUUGACUGCGAGAGUGACGGCUCGAGCAGGUGCGAAAGCAGGUCAUAGUGAUCCGGUGGUUCUGAAUGGAAGGGCCAUCGCUCAACGGAUAAAAGGUACUCCGGGGAUAACAGGCUGAUACCGCCCAAGAGUUCAUAUCGACGGCGGUGUUUGGCACCUCGAUGUCGGCUCAUCACAUCCUGGGGCUGAAGUAGGUCCCAAGGGUAUGGCUGUUCGCCAUUUAAAGUGGUACGCGAGCUGGGUUUAGAACGUCGUGAGACAGUUCGGUCCCUAUCUGCCGUGGGCGCUGGAGAAUUGAGGGGGGCUGCUCCUAGUACGAGAGGACCGGAGUGGACGCAUCACUGGUGUUCGGGU
rnacentral:rRNA from 1 species